rnacentral:lncRNA from 1 species
GCGUGCAUACGAAGUAAAGGGUCUACACAUUCAGGCCUCCGUGAAGGUUUAAUCUAGAUAAAUUGAGAUUUGAUCUCUGAUUCUACUACUAAUCAGGUAAGGAUUUGAUCCUUAAUCAUGUAGAUAAAUAAAAAAAAUUUUAGAUGCCACCUGGGCCUUCCUAGGAGAAAUAGUUUCUUUCCCUUCAUGUACUUCAUACAAUUUUCAAUAUUUUUCUCUCUUACCUCUAGAUCACUCAUAGUCUUGUAGAUCACACAAUAAACUAUAACAUUCUAGUUAAGUUAAUUUUUCAAUC